UGCCAGCCGCCGCGGUAAUACGGAGGGUGCGAGCGUUAAUCGGAAUCACUGGGCGUAAAGCGCGCGUAGGCGGAGUAUUAAGUCUCAUGUGAAAGCCCUGGGCUCAACCUGGGAACUGCAUGGGAUACUGGUAUUCUAGAAUACAGUAGAGGGAGGUGGAAUUUCAGGUGUAGCGGUGAAAUGCGUAGAUAUCGGAAGGAACACCAGUGGCGAAGGCGACUUCCUGGGCCAAUACUGACGCUGAGGUGCGAAAGCGUGGGCAGCAAACAGGAUUAGAUA
rnacentral:rRNA from 1 species